rnacentral:rRNA from 1 species
AUUGAACGCUGGCGGCAGGCCUAACACAUGCAAGUCGAGCGGAUGAAGGGAGCUUGCUCCUGGAAUCAGCGGCGGACGGGUGAGUAAUGCCUAGGAAUCUGCCUGGUAGUGGGGGAUAACGUCCGGAAACGGGCGCUAAUACCGCAUACGUCCUGAGGGAGAAAGUGGGGGAUCUUCGGACCUCACGCUAUCGGAUGAGCCUAGGUCGGAUUAGCUAGUUGGUGGGGUAAAGGCCUACCAAGGCGACGAUCCGUAACUGGUCUGAGAGGAUGAUCAGUCACACUGGAACUGAGACACGGUCCAGACUCCUACGGGAGGCAGCAGUGGGGAAUAUUGGACAAUGGGCGAAAGCCUGAUCCAGCCAUGCCGCGUGUGUGAAGAAGGUCUUCGGAUUGUAAAGCACUUUAAGUUGGGAGGAAGGGCAGUAAGUUAAUACCUUGCUGUUUUGACGUUACCAACAGAAUAAGCACCGGCUAACUUCGUG